rnacentral:rRNA from 1 species
AUUGAACGCUGGCGGCAGGCCUAACACAUGCAAGUCGAACGAGAGGCGGACGGGUGAGUAAUGUCUGGGAAACUGCCUGAUGGAGGGGGAUAACUAGUGGAAAAGGUAGCUAAUACUGCUUACCAUCAGAUGGGCCGAGAUGGGAUUAGCUUGUUGGUGGGGUAACGGCUCACCAAGGCGACGAUCCCUAGCUGGUCUGAGAGGAUGACGAGCCACACUGGAACUGAGACACGGCCCAGACUCCUACGGGAGGCAGCAGUGGGGAAUAUUGCACAAUGGGCGAAAGCCUGACGCAGCCAUGCCGCGUGUAUGAAGAAGGCCUUCGGGUUGUAAAGUACUUUCAGCGGGGAGGCGUUACCCGCAGAAGAAGCACCGGCUAACUCCGUGCCAGCAGCCGCGGUAAUUC